UACGAAGGGUGCAAACGUUGCUCGGAAUCAUUGGGCGUAAAGCGCACGUAGGCGGCCUUGUAAGUCGGAUGUGAAAUCCCACGGCUUAACCGUGGAAGUGCAUCCGAAACUGCGAGGCUCGAGUAUGGAAGAGGGUCGCAGAAUUCCCGGUGUAGAGGUGAAAUUCGUAGAUAUCGGGAGGAAUACCAGUGGCGAAGGCGGCGACCUGGGCCAAUACUGACGCUGAGGUGCGAAAGCGUGGGGAGCAAACGGG
rnacentral:rRNA from 1 species